UGCCAGCCGCCGCGGUAAUACGGAGGGGGUUAGCGUUGUUCGGAAUUACUGGGCGUAAAGCGCACGUAGGCGGAUUAGUAAGUUAGGGGUGAAAUCCCGGGGCUCAACCCCGGAAGUGCACUUGAAACAGCAAGACUUGAAUACGGUAGAGGAGAGAGGAAUUCCUGGUGUAGAGGUGAAAUUCGUAGAUAUCAGGAGGAACACCGAUGGCGAAGGCAUCUCUCUGGGCCGAUAUUGACACUGAGGAGCGAAAGCAUGGGUAGCGAAGAGGAUUAGAUA
rnacentral:rRNA from 1 species